UACGUAGGGCGCAAGCGUUGUCCGGAAUUAUUGGGCGUAAAGAGCUCGUAGGCGGCUUGUCGCGUCGACUGUGAAAACCCGCGGCUCAACCGUGUGGUCUGCAGUCGAUACGGGCAGGCUAGAGUUCGGUAGGGGAGACUGGAAUUCCUGGUGUAGCGGUGAAAUGCGCAGAUAUCAGGAAGAACACCCGUGGCGAAGGCGGCUCUCUGGGACGGUACUGACGCUGAGACGCGAAAGCGUGGGGAGCGAACAGG
rnacentral:rRNA from 1 species